rnacentral:rRNA from 1 species
CAGCCGCCACGGGAAAACGGAGGGAGCUAGCGUUGUUCGGAAUCACUGGGCGUAAAGCGCACGUAGGCGGCUAUUCAAGUCAGGGGUGAAAGCCCGGGGCUCAACCCCGGAACUGCCUUUGAAACUAGAUAGCUUGAAUCUUGGAGAGGCGAGUGGAAUCCCGAGUGUAGAGGUGAAAUUCGUAGAUAUUCGGAAGAACACCAGUGGCGAAGGCGACUCGCUGGACAAGUAUUGACGCUGAGGUGCGAAAGCGUGGGGAGCAAACAGGAUUAGAUACCCCUGUAGUCCCUGUCUCUUAUAA